GCACAAAACAAGCAAGCGGAGGGAAAUGCGCCAGGCGACAAUUUCUAAUUACAAAUUCGCCAGAACACUUAACCCGUUUUUACCGGACAUACACGUACCCAAGCGUCCAGUACAAUUUCCAUACCUAAACAUAUACCAAACACCUUUCAGACAACAGCAAGGAGUCACAGGGGAUGAAAUUGGGGUAUAAAGUCAUGUUUUGAUUGCUGGACGGAAAAAGUUACCAUUUUGCCAGAAGUCCGGGCCGAUCUUAAGUAUAAUUUAAUAGAGCAGUGCAACGAAACGUUACCCCCAAUUUCUGAUGCUACCGUCAUUGUAUCUAUGAAUAUACCAAUUUUGUGUUUUGAAAUAUGAAUCCCAGUAUACCAUUUACACCCUACAAUUACCAGGGACUUAAAAAAAGCUCAGCUUGCUACAUUUUAUGCUGAUCCCUGUCAGGCAACAAAACACACAUAAUCUGCAAAAAGGAUAACAACAGGGUGGGGACUGAACGAGAGAAAAGAAAAGUGCCAGAGCACCGGGGAAGGAUGAACAAACAAAAUAUUUAUGUCUCCAACACACCUUGAAAAACACAGACGAUAAACGUGGAGCAAGCCCAAAGGAUUCGGAAAGGCGUGGCAUAGAUCCUGGUGGGUUUUAUGCUUCGCUCCAUGCAAAGUACCGGCAACAAACAUCAACCAAUAAUGCAGACGCGAUUAUGUCCAACCAGAAGCAAAAAUAGUUAUGGGCUACAGAAGGACAACUCCGACUUUGAAUGUGAAGUUGACGCUAGAAUAGCAGGACAUUCGCAUACAGAAAGGAUUGGGAUUGCUUUUCACAGACACACACUUUUUGAGGAAGCUGCACUCUCACAAUCACCAAAAAAUUAAAAACAAACAAAACACGGUGGGAACGUCGAGUGGCGAGUAUGGAAAAAAGAAAGGACCUCGAAAAGCAGAGACCUGAGAGGCAGCUGCAAAAAACGAAAGUGUUGCACAAUGGGCGUUGCUUCAGGUCUUCUGCACACUCAAAAACCUGCCCCCAACCACUCUCUUCUAGGAGGGACACUCACCAACACUGUCCUCUGAUUUAUGCCACUGACGAGCAAUUUUGUACACUGUAAAAAUGAAAACAGCUAAAAUAUACAGAAUUUUUAAAAGUUGUAAUGCAUUUAAAAUAGAAAAUCUCCUAGCUUGGCAUGAUAAAAACACAAGAUAGGACUGAUCGCCUUGAAAAAAUCACUAUAUAUCACUAUACUCCUCCCAAAUGUUAUAAAGUUCGUAUAUCGAAAAAUACUGCCAACAAAGAAAAUAAUUGUGGCCGAGAUCUUUGGAUCCUGAUCUACAAUUUACUCAUAAGAAUCCAAAUCGCUUUCCUUUGACCCUUAAACACUCUUCAACGGCCCUGGUAUUCCCUUAAACUAUAUAUAUGAUGAUAUGGGUAUGAUAAGCCAGAAGACAAACGAAAACUUACGAUAAGGACAAC